rnacentral:rRNA from 1 species
CCCUUAGACGUUCUGGGCCGCACGCGCGCUACACUGACCAGUGCAACAAGCAUCCGUCCUUGGCCGACAGGCUCGGGCAAUCUUUGAACGCUGGUCGUGAUGGGGAUAGACUUUUGCAAUUUUUGGUCUUCAACGAGGAAUUCCUAGUAAACGCAAGUCAUCAACUUGCAUUGAUUACGUCCCUGCCCUUUGUACACACCGCCCGUCGCACCUACCGAUUGAACGUUUUAGUGAGGUACUCGGACUGAGCCUCAGAAGAUUCACGUCUUUUGUGCUGCUCGGGAAGAUUCCCAAACUUGAGCGUUUAGAGGAAGUAAAAGUCGUAACA